AGGGCACCACCAGGAGUGGAGCCUGCGGCUUAAUUUGACUCAACACGGGAAAACUUACCCGGCCCGGACACUGGAAGGAUUGACAGAUUGAGAGCUCUUUCUUGAUUCAGUGGGUGGUGGUGCAUGGCCGUUCUUAGUUGGUGGAGCGAUUUGUCUGGUUAAUUCCGAUAACGAACGAGACUCUAGCCUACUAAAUAGACUGUUCAGCUUUAUAGCCGGAAUCACCGGGUGCGUGCCUCUCGGGGUGCGUAUUCGGCUCUGGUGACGCUGGCAGUGCUUCUUAGAGGGACAGGCGGCGGUUCAGCCGCACGAAACAGAGCAAUAACAGGUCUGUGAUGCCCUUAGAUGUCCGGGGCUGCACGCGCACUACACUGAAGUGAUCAGCGUGCAAUUCAAGUUUGGUGAUCUGUCAAGAUUGCCCAACCCGUUGAACCUUCUUCGUGAUUGGGAUAGGGGAUUGUAGUUAUUCCCCUUGAACGAGGAAUUCCCAGUAAGCGCAAGUCAUAAGCUUGCGUUGAU
rnacentral:rRNA from 1 species